GGCGCGGUGGACGAAUAGGAAGAGUCACCUGGCUUUCACCCAGGAACGUUGCGGGUUCGAGGCCCGUCCGCGCUAC
rnacentral:tRNA from 1 species